CAUCUUACAGUCCACAGCUCUACCAACUAAGCUAUCAAGGUGCUCUCUAGUCACAAGUGCAGAAAACAUAGUGGCUUCGAAGACACACUAUGCCCACAGAACUAUUCCAACCCAUGGUCAAUGAAAAGCCCAGCCCUACCUGACGAACAAAGCUUUGCAGUUUGUACCCAACAGUCAUUGCCAGGGACCCAGAACUGAUAAUCAGGACUUUUAGGCUGGGUGAAUAAAAAAUUGAUGGUUGAAAAUUUAAGAAAGAGUUAACUUGUUUGUGUUUUUACAUUUUGGAGGAGUUGACAGAUAAAGACAAGGCUUGGGGGAAUUUCCAAUGACAAGGAGGUGCUUCCGGCUGGAGUUGAACCAGCGACGUUAGGAUCACAGCGUUUCACACAAGGAGCAUCUUACAGUCCACUGCUCUACCAACUGAGCUAUCAAGGUGCUCUAUACUCACAAGUGCAGAAAACAUAGUGGCUUCGAAGACACACUAUGCCCACAGAACUAUUCCAACCCAUGGUCAAUGAAAAGCCCAGCCCUACCUGCAGAACAAAGCUUUGCAGUUUGUACCCAACAGUCAUUGCCAGGGACCCAGAACUGAUAAUCAGGACUUUUAGGCUGGGUGAAUAAAAAAUUGAUGGUUGAAAAUUUAAGAAAGAGUUAUCUUGUUUGUGUUUUUACAUUUUGGAGGAGUUGACAGAUAAAGACAAGGCUUGGGGGUAUUUCCAAUGACAAGGAGGUGCUUCUGGCUGGAGUUGAACCAGCGACCUUAGGAUCACAGCAUUCCCCACAAGGAGCAUCUUACAGUCCAACGCUCUACCAACUGAGCUAUCAAGGUGCUCUCAAGUCACAAGUGCAGAAAACAUAGUAGCUUCGAAGACACACUAUGCCCACAGAACUAUUCCAACCCAUGGUCAAUGAAAAGCCCAGCCCUACCUGACGAACAAAGCUUUGCAGUUUGUACCCAACAGUCAUUGCCAGGGACCCAGAACUGAUAAUCAGGACUUUUAGGCUGGGUGAAUAAAAAAUUGAUGGUUGAAAAUUUAAGAAAGAGUUAUCUUGUUUGUGUUUUUACAUUUUGGAGGAGUUGACAGAUAAAGACAAAGCUUGGGGGUAUUUCCAAUGACAAGGAGGUGCUACCGGCUGGAGUUGAACCAGCGACCUUAGGAUCAAGGCAUUUCACACAAGGAGCAUCUUACAGUCGACCGCUCUACCAACUGAGCUAUCAAGGUGCUCUCUAGUCACAAGUGCAGAAAACAUAGUGGCUUCGAAGACACACUAUGCCCACAGAACUAUUCCAACCCAUGGUCAAUGAAAAGCCCAGCCCUACCUGACGAACAAAGCUUUGCAGUUUGUACCCAACAGUCAUUGCCAGGGACCCAGAACUGAUAAUCAGGACUUUUAGGCUGGGUGAAUAAAAAAUUGAUGGUUGAAAAUUUAAGAAAGAGUUAUCUUGUUUGUGUUUUUACAUUUUGGAGGAGUUGACAGAUAAAGACAAGGCUUGGGGGUUUUCCAAUGACAAGGAGGUGCUUCCGGCUGGAGUUGAACCAGCGACCUUAGGAUCACAGCGUUUCACACAAGGAGCAUCUUACAGUCCACCGCUCUACCAACUGAGCUAUCAAGGUGCUCUCUAGUCACAAGUGCAGAAAACAUAGUGGCUUCGAAGACACACUAUGCCCACAGAACUAUUCCAACCCAUGGUCAAUGAAAAGCCCAGCCCUACCUGACGAACAAAGCUUUGCAGUUUGUACCCAACAGUCAUUGCCAGGGACCCAGAACUGAUAAUCAGGACUUUUAGGCUGGGUGAAUAAAAAAUUGAUGGUUGAAAAUUUAAGAAAGAGUUAUCUUGUUUGUGUUUUUACAUUUUGGAGGAGUUGACAGAUAAAGACCAGGCUUGGGGGUAUUUCCAAUGACAAGGAGGUGCUUCCGGCUGGAGUUGAACGAGCGACCUUAGGAUAACUGCGUUUCACACAAGGAGCAUCUUACAGUCGACUGCUCUACCAACUGAGCUAUCAAGGUGCUCUCUAGUCACAAGUGCAGAAAACAUAGUGGCUUCGAAGACACACUAUGCCCACAGAACUAUUCCAACCCAUGGUCAAUGAAAAGCCCAGCCCUACCUGACGAACAAAGCUUUGCAGUUUGUACCCAACAGUCAUUGCCAGGGACCCAGAACUGAUAAUCAGGACUUUUAGGCUGGGUGAAUAAAAAAUUGAUGGUUGAAAAUUUAAGAAAGAGUUAUCUUGUUUGUGUUUUUACAUUUUGGAGGAGUUGACAGAUAAAGACAAGGCUUGGGGGUAUUUCCAAUGACAAGGAGGUGCUUCCGGCUGGAGUUGAACCAGCGACCUUAGGAUCAAGGUUUUCACACAAGGAGCAUCUUACAGUCCACCGCUCUACCAACUGAGCUAUCAAGGUGCUCUCUAGUCACAAGUGCAGAAAACAUAGUGGCUUCGAAGACACACUAUGCCCACAGAACUAUUCCAACCCAUGGUCAAUGAAAAGCCCAGCCCUACCUGACGAACAAAGCUUUGCAGUUUGUACCCAACAGUCAUUGCCAGGAACCCAGAACUGAUAAUCAGGACUUUUAGGCUGGGUGAAUAAAAAAUUGAUGGUUGAAAAUUUAAGAAAGAGUUAUCUUGUUUGCGUUUUUACAUUUUGGAGGAGUUGACAGAUAAAGACAAGGCUUGGGGGUAUUUCCAAUGACAAGGAGGUGCUUCCGGCUGGAGUUGAACCAGCGACCUUAGGAUCACAGCGUUUCACACAAGGAGCAUCUUACAGUCCACAGCUCUAACAACUGAGCUAUCAAGGUGCUCUCUAGUCACAAGUGCAGAAAACAUAGUGGCUUCGAAGACACACUAUGCCCACAGAACUAUUCCAACCCAUGGUCAAUGAAAAGCCCAGCCCUACCUGCAGAACAAAGCUUUGCAGUUUGUACCCAACAGUCAUUGCCAGGGACCCAGAACUGAUAAUCAGGACUUUUAGGCUGGGUGAAUAAAAAAUUGAUGGUUGAAAAUUUAAGAAAGAGUUAUCUUGUUUGUGUUUUUACAUUUUGGAGGAGUUGACAGAUAAAGACAAGGCUUGGGGGUAUUUCCAAUAACAAGGAGGUGCUUCCGGCUGGAGUUGAACCAGCGACCUUAGGAUCACAGCGUUUCACACAAGGAGCAUCUAACAGUCCACCGCUCUACCAACUGAGCUAUCAAGGUGCUCUAUACUCACAAGUGCAGAAAACAUAGUGGCUUCGAAGACACACUAUGCCCACAGAACUAUUCCAACCCAUGGUCAAUGAAAAGCCCAGCCCUACCUGACGAACAAAGCUUUGCAGUUUGUACCCAACAGUCAUUGCCAGGGACCCAGAACUGAUAAUCAGGACUUUUAGGCUGGGUGAAUAAAAAAUUGAUGGUUGAAAAUUUAAGAAAGAGUUAUCUUGUUUGUGUUUUUACAUUUUGGAGGAGUUGACAGAUAAAGACAAGGCUUGGGGGUAUUUCCAAUGACAAGGAGGUGCUUCCGGCGGAGUUGAACCAGCGACCUUAGGAUCACAGCGUUUCACACAAGGAGCAUCUAACAGUGCACCUCUCUACCAACUGAGCUAUCAAGGUGCUCUCUAGUCGCAAGUGCAGAAAACAUAGUGGCUUCGGAGACACACUAUGCCCACAGAACUAUUCCAACCCAUGGUCAAUGAAAAGCCCAGCCCUACCUGCAGAACAUAGCUUUGCAGUUUGUACCCAACAGUCAUUGCCAGGGACCCAGAACUGAUAAUCAGAACUUUUAGGCUGGGUGAAUAAAAAAUUGAUGGUUGAAAAUUUAAGAAAGAGUUAUCUUGUUUGUGUCUUUACAUUUUGGAGGAGUUGACAGAUAAAGACAAGGCUUGGGGGUAUUUCCAAUGACAAGGAGGUGCUUCCGGCUGGAGUUGAACCAGCGACGUUAGGAUCACAGCGUUUCACACAAGGAGCAUCUUACAGUCCACCGCUCUACCAACUGAGAUAUCAAGGUGCUCUCUAGUCACAAGUGCAGAAAACAUAGUGGCUUCGGAGACACACUAUGCCCACAGAACUAUUCCAACCCAUGGUCAAUGAAAAGCCCAGCCCUACCUGACGAACAAAGCUUUGCAGUUUGUACCCAACAGUCAUUGCCAGGGACCCAGAACUGAUAAUCAGGACUUUUAGGCUGGGUGAAUAAAAAAUUGAUGGUUGAAAAUUUAAGAAAGAGUUAUCUUGUUUGUGUUUUUACAUUUUGGAGGAGUUGACAGAUAAAGACAAGGCUUGGGGGUAUUUCCAAUGACAAGGAGGUGCUUCCGGCUGGAGUUGAACCAGCGACCUUAGGAUCACAGCGUUUCACACAAGGAGCAUCUUACAGUGCACCGCUCUACCAACUGAGCUAUCAAGGUGCUCUCUAGUCACAACUGCAGAAAACAUAGUGGCUUCGAAGACACACUAUGCCCACAGAACUAUUCCAACCCAUGGUCAAUGAAAAGCCCAGCCCUACCUGACGAACAAAGCUUUGCAGUUUGUACCCAACAGUCAUUGCCAGGGACCCAGAACUGAUAAUCAGGACUUUUAGGCUGGGUGAAUAAAAAAUUGAUGGUUGAAAAUUUAAGAAAGAGUUAUCUUGUUUGUGUUUUUACAUUUUGGAGGAGUUGACAGAUAAAGACAAAGGUUGGGGGUAUUUCCAAUGACAAGGAGGUGCUUCCGGCUGGAGUUGAACCAGCGACGUUAGGAUCACGGCAUUUCACACAAGGAGCAUCUUACAGUCCACCGCUCUACCAACUGAGCUAUCAAGGUGCUCUCUAGUCACAAGUGCAGAAAACAUAGUGGCUUCGAAGACACACUAUGCCCACAGAACUAUUCCAACCCAUGGUCAAUGAAAAGCCAAGCCCUACCUGACGAACAAAGCUUUGCAGUUUGUACCCAACAGUCAUUGCCAGGGACCCAGAACUGAUAAUCAGGACUUUUAGGCUGGGUGAAUAAAAAAUUGAUGGUUGAAAAUUUAAGAAAGAGUUAUCUUGUUUGUGUUUUUACAUUUUGGAGGAGUUGACAGAUAAAGACAAGGCUUGGGGGUAUUUCCAAUGACAAGGAGGUGUUUCCAGCUGGAGUUGAACCAGCGACCUUAGGAUCACAGCGUUUCACACAAGGAGCAUCUUACAGUCCACCGCUCUACCAACUGAGCUAUCAAGGUGCUCUCUAGUCACAAGUGCAGAAAACAUAGUGGCUUCGAAGACACACUAUGCCCACAGAACUAUUCCAACCCAUGGUCAAUGAAAAGCCCAGCCCUACCUGACGAACAAAGCUUUGCAGUUUGUACCCAACAGUCAUUGCCAGGGACCCAGAACUGAUAAUCAGGACUUUUAGGCUGGGUGAAUAAAAAAUUGAUGGUUGAAAAUUUAAGAAAGAGUUAUCUUGUUUGUGUUUUUACAUUUUGGAGGAGUUGACAGAUAAAGACAAAGGUUGGGGGUAUUUCCAAUGACAAGGAGGUGCUUCCGGCUGGAGUUGAACCAGCGAACUUAGGAUCACGGCAUUUCACACAAGGAGCAUCUUACAGUCCACCGCUCUACCAACUGAGCUAUCAAGGUGCUCUCUAGUCACAAGUGCAGAAAACAUAGUGGCUUCGAAGACACACUAUGCCCACAGAACUAUUCCAACCCAUGGUCAAUGAAAAGCCCAGCCCUACCUGACGAACAAAGCUUUGCAGUUUGUACCCAACAGUCAUUGCCAGGGACCCAGAACUGAUAAUCAGGACUUUUAGGCUGGGUGAAUAAAAAAUUGAUGGUUGAAAAUUUAAGAAAGAGUUAUCUUGUUUGUGUUUUUACAUUUUGGAGGAGUUGACAGAUAAAGACAAGGCUUGGGGGUAUUUCCAAUGACAAGGAGGUGCUUCCAGCUGGAGUUGAACCAGCGACCUUAGGAUCACAGCGUUUCACACAAGGAGCAUCUUACAGUCCACCGCUCUACCAACUGAGCUAUCAAGGUGCUCUCUAGUCACAAGUGCAGAAAACAUAGUGGCUUCGAAGACACACUAUGCCCACAGAACUAUUCCAACCCAUGGUCAAUGAAAAGCCCAGCCCUACCUGACGAACAAAGCUUUGCAGUUUGUACCCAACAGUCAUUGCCAGGGACCCAGAACUGAUAAUCAGGACUUUUAGGCUGGGUGAAUAAAAAAUUGAUGGUUGAAAAUUCAAGAAAGAGUUAUCUUGUUUGUGUUUUUACAUUUUGGAGGAGUUCACAGAUAAAGACAAGGCUUGGGGGUAUUUCCAAUGACAAGGAGGUGCUUCCGGCUGGAGUUGAACCAGCGACCUUAGGAUCACAGCGUUUCACACAAGGAGCAUAUUACAGUCGACUGCUCUACCAACUGAGCUAUCAAGGUGCUCUCUAGUCACAAGUGCAGAAAACAUAGUGGCUUCGAAGACACACUAUGCCCACAGAACUAUUCCAACCCAUGGUCAAUGAAAAGCCCAGCCCUACCUGACGAACAAAGCUUUGCAGUUUGUACCCAACAGUCAUUGCCAGGGACCCAGAACUGAUAAUCAGGACUUUUAGGCUGGGUGAAUAAAAAAUUGAUGGUUGAAAAUUUAAGAAAGAGUUAUCUUGUUUGUGUUUUUACAUUUUGGAGGAGUUGACAGAUAAAGACAAGGCUUGGGGGUAUUUCCAAUGACAAGGAGGUGCUUCCGGCUGGAGUUGAACCAGCGAUCUUAGGAUCACUGCGUUUCACACAAGGAGCAUCUUACAGUCCACAGCUCUAACAACUGAGCUAUCAAGGUGCCCUCUAGUCACAAGUGCAGAAAACAUAGUGGCUUCGAAGACACACUAUCCCCACAGAACUAUUCCAACCCAUGGUCAAUGAAAAGCCCAGCCCUACCUGACGAACAAAGCUUUGCAGUUUGUACCCAACAGUCAUUGCCAGGGACCCAGAACUGAUAAUCAGGACUUUUAGGCUGGGUGAAUAAAAAAUUGAUGGUUGAAAAUUUAAGAAAGAGUUAUGUUGUUUGUGUUUUUACAUUUUGGAGGAGUUGACAGAUAAAGACAAGGCUUGGGGGUAUUUCCAAUGACAAGGAGGUGCUUCCGGCUGGAGUUGAACCAGCGACCUUAGGAUCACGGCGUUUUACACAAGGAGCAUCUUACAGUCCACCGCUCUACCAACUGAGCUAUCAAGGUGCUCUCUAGCCACAAGUGCAGAAAACAUAGUGGCUUCGAAGACACACUAUGCCCACAGAACUAUUCCAACCCAUGGUCAAUGAAAAGCCCAGCCCUACCUGACGAACAAAGCUUUGCAAUUUGUACCCAACAGUCAUUGCCAGGGACCCAGAACUGAUAAUCAGGACUUUUAGGCUGGGUGAAUAAAAAAUUGAUGGUUGAAAAUUUAAGAAAGAGUUAUCUUGUUUGUGUUUUUACAUUUUGGAGGAGUUUACAGAUAAAGACAAGGCUUGGGGGUAUUUCCAAUGACAAGGAGGUGCUUCCGGCUGGAGUUGAACCAGCGACCUUAGGAUAACUGCGUUUCACACAAGGAGCAUCUUACAGUCGACUGCUCUACCAACUGAGCUAUCAAGGUGCUCUCUAGUCACAAGUGCAGAAAACAUAGUGGCUUCGAAGACACACUAUGCCCACAGAACUAUUCCAACCCAUGGUCAAUGAAAAGCCCAGCCCUACCUGCAGAACAAAGCUUUGCAGUUUGUACCCAACAGUCAUUGCCAGGGACCCAGAACUGAUAAUCAGGACUUUUAGGCUGGGUGAAUAAAAAAUUGAUGGUUGAAAAUUUAAGAAAGAGUUAUCUUGUUUGUGUUUUUACAUUUUGGAGGAGUUGACAGAUAAAGACAAGGCUUGGGGGUAUUUCCAAUGACAAGGAGGUGCUUCUGGCUGGAGUUGAACCAGCGACCUUAGGAUCACAGCAUUCCCCACAAGGAGCAUCUUACAGUCCACCGCUCUACCAACUGAGCUAUCAAGGUGCUCUCAAGUCACAAGUGCAGAAAACAUAGUGGCUUCGAAGACACACUAUGCCCACAGAACUAUUCCAACCCAUGGUCAAUGAAAAGCCCAGCCCUACCUGACGAACAAAGCUUUGCAGUUUGUACCCAACAGUCAUUGCCAGGGACCCAGAACUGAUAAUCAGGACUUUUAGGCUGGGUGAAUAAAAAAUUGAUGGUUGAAAAUUCAAGAAAGAGUUAUCUUGUUUGUGUUUUUACAUUUUGGAGGAGUUGACAGAUAAAGACAAAGGUUGGGGGUAUUUCCAAUGACAAGGAGGUGCUUCCGGCUGGAGUUGAACCAGCGACCUUAGGAUCACGGCAUUUCACACAAGGAGCAUCUUACAGUCCACCGCUCUACCAACUGAGCUAUCAAGGUGCUCUCUAGUCACAAGUGCAGAAAACAUAGUGGCUUCGAAGACACACUAUGCCCACAGAACUAUUCCAACCCAUGGCCAGCAAAAGCCCAGCCCUACCUGACGAACAAAGCUUUGCAGUUUGUACCCAACAGUCAUUGCCAGGGACCCAGAACUGAUAAUCAGGACUUUUAGGUUGGGUGAAUAAAAAAUUGAUGGUUGAAAAUUUAAGAAAGAGUUAUCUUGUUUGUGUUUUUACAUUUUGGAGGAGUUGACAGAUAAAGACAAGGCUUAGGGGUAUUUCCAAUGACAAGGAGGUGCUUCCAGCUGGAGUUGAACCAGCGACCUUAGGAUCACAGCGUUUCACACAAGGAGCAUCUUACAGUCCACAGCUCUACCAACUAAGCUAUCAAGGUGCUCUCUAGUCACAAGUGCAGAAAACAUAGUGGCUUCGAAGACACACUAUGCCCACAGAACUAUUCCAACCCAUGGUCAAUGAAAAGCCCAGCCCUACCUGACGAACAAAGCUUUGCAGUUUGUACCCAACAGUCAUUGCCAGGGACCCAGAACUGAUAAUCAGGACUUUUAGGCUGGGUGAAUAAAAAAUUGAUGGUUGAAAAUUUAAGAAAGAGUUAACUUGUUUGUGUUUUUACAUUUUGGAGGAGUUGACAGAUAAAGACAAGGCUUGGGGGAAUUUCCAAUGACAAGGAGGUGCUUCCUGCUGGAGUUGAACCAGCGACGUUAGGAUCACAGCGUUUCACACAAGGAGCAUCUUACAGUCCACUGCUCUACCAACUGAGCUAUCAAGGUGCUCUAUACUCACAAGUGCAGAAAACAUAGUGGCUUCGAAGACACACUAUGCCCACAGAACUAUUCCAACCCAUGGUCAAUGAAAAGCCCAGCCCUACCUGCAGAACAAAGCUUUGCAGUUUGUACCCAACAGUCAUUGCCAGGGACCCAGAACUGAUAAUCAGGACUUUUAGGCUGGGUGAAUAAAAAAUUGAUGGUUGAAAAUUUAAGAAAGAGUUAUCUUGUUUGUGUUUUUACAUUUUGGAGGAGUUGACAGAUAAAGACAAGGCUUGGGGGUAUUUCCAAUGACAAGGAGGUGCUUCUGGCUGGAGUUGAACCAGCGACCUUAGGAUCACAGCAUUCCCCACAAGGAGCAUCUUACAGUCCAACGCUCUACCAACUGAGCUAUCAAGGUGCUCUCAAGUCACAAGUGCAGAAAACAUAGUAGCUUCGAAGACACACUAUGCCCACAGAACUAUUCCAACCCAUGGUCAAUGAAAAGCCCAGCCCUACCUGACGAACAAAGCUUUGCAGUUUGUACCCAACAGUCAUUGCCAGGGACCCAGAACUGAUAAUCAGGACUUUUAGGCUGGGUGAAUAAAAAAUUGAUGGUUGAAAAUUUAAGAAAGAGUUAUCUUGUUUGUGUUUUUACAUUUUGGAGGAGUUGACAGAUAAAGACAAAGCUUGGGGGUAUUUCCAAUGACAAGGAGGUGCUACCGGCUGGAGUUGAACCAGCGACCUUAGGAUCAAGGCAUUUCACACAAGGAGCAUCUUACAGUCGACCGCUCUACCAACUGAGCUAUCAAGGUGCUCUCUAGUCACAAGUGCAGAAAACAUAGUGGCUUCGAAGACACACUAUGCCCACAGAACUAUUCCAACCCAUGGUCAAUGAAAAGCCCAGCCCUACCUGACGAACAAAGCUUUGCAGUUUGUACCCAACAGUCAUUGCCAGGGACCCAGAACUGAUAAUCAGGACUUUUAGGCUGGGUGAAUAAAAAAUUGAUGGUUGAAAAUUUAAGAAAGAGUUAUCUUGUUUGUGUUUUUACAUUUUGGAGGAGUUGACAGAUAAAGACAAGGCUUGGGGGUUUUUCCAAUGACAAGGAGGUGCUUCCGGCUGGAGUUGAACCAGCGACCUUAGGAUCACAGCGUUUCACACAAGGAGCAUCUUACAGUCCACCGCUCUACCAACUGAGCUAUCAAGGUGCUCUCUAGUCACAAGUGCAGAAAACAUAGUGGCUUCGAAGACACACUAUGCCCACAGAACUAUUCCAACCCAUGGUCAAUGAAAAGCCCAGCCCUACCUGACGAACAAAGCUUUGCAGUUUGUACCCAACAGUCAUUGCCAGGGACCCAGAACUGAUAAUCAGGACUUUUAGGCUGGGUGAAUAAAAAAUUGAUGGUUGAAAAUUUAAGAAAGAGUUAUCUUGUUUGUGUUUUUACAUUUUGGAGGAGUUGACAGAUAAAGACCAGGCUUGGGGGUAUUUCCAAUGACAAGGAGGUGCUUCCGGCUGGAGUUGAACGAGCGACCUUAGGAUAACUGCGUUUCACACAAGGAGCAUCUUACAGUCGACUGCUCUACCAACUGAGCUAUCAAGGUGCUCUCUAGUCACAAGUGCAGAAAACAUAGUGGCUUCGAAGACACACUAUGCCCACAGAACUAUUCCAACCCAUGGUCAAUGAAAAGCCCAGCCCUACCUGACGAACAAAGCUUUGCAGUUUGUACCCAACAGUCAUUGCCAGGGACCCAGAACUGAUAAUCAGGACUUUUAGGCUGGGUGAAUAAAAAAUUGAUGGUUGAAAAUUUAAGAAAGAGUUAUCUUGUUUGUGUUUUUACAUUUUGGAGGAGUUGACAGAUAAAGACAAAGGUUGGGGGUAUUUCCAAUGACAAGGAGGUGCUUCCGGCUGGAGUUGAACCAGCGACCUUAGGAUCAAGGCAUUUCACACAAGGAGCAUCUUACAGUCCACCGCUCUACCAACUGAGCUAUCAAGGUGCUCUCUAGUCACAAGUGCAGAAAACAUAGUGGCUUCGAAGACACACUAUGCCCACAGAACUAUUCCAACCCAUGGUCAAUGAAAAGCCCAGCCCUACCUGACGAACAAAGCUUUGCAGUUUGUACCCAACAGUCAUUGCCAGGAACCCAGAACUGAUAAUCAGGACUUUUAGGCUGGGUGAAUAAAAAAUUGAUGGUUGAAAAUUUAAGAAAGAGUUAUCUUGUUUGCGUUUUUACAUUUUGGAGGAGUUGACAGAUAAAGACAAGGCUUGGGGGUAUUUCCAAUGACAAGGAGGUGCUUCCGGCUGGAGUUGAACCAGCGACCUUAGGAUCACAGCGUUUCACACAAGGAGCAUCUUACAGUCCACAGCUCUAACAACUGAGCUAUCAAGGUGCUCUCUAGUCACAAGUGCAGAAAACAUAGUGGCUUCGAAGACACACUAUGCCCACAGAACUAUUCCAACCCAUGGUCAAUGAAAAGCCCAGCCCUACCUGCAGAACAAAGCUUUGCAGUUUGUACCCAACAGUCAUUGCCAGGGACCCAGAACUGAUAAUCAGGACUUUUAGGCUGGGUGAAUAAAAAAUUGAUGGUUGAAAAUUUAAGAAAGAGUUAUCUUGUUUGUGUUUUUACAUUUUGGAGGAGUUGACAGAUAAAGACAAGGCUUGGGGGUAUUUCCAAUAACAAGGAGGUGCUUCCGGCUGGAGUUGAACCAGCGACCUUAGGAUCACAGCGUUUCACACAAGGAGCAUCUAACAGUCCACCGCUCUACCAACUGAGCUAUCAAGGUGCUCUAUACUCACAAGUGCAGAAAACAUAGUGGCUUCGAAGACACACUAUGCCCACAGAACUAUUCCAACCCAUGGUCAAUGAAAAGCCCAGCCCUACCUGACGAACAAAGCUUUGCAGUUUGUACCCAACAGUCAUUGCCAGGGACCCAGAACUGAUAAUCAGGACUUUUAGGCUGGGUGAAUAAAAAAUUGAUGGUUGAAAAUUUAAGAAAGAGUUAUCUUGUUUGUGUUUUUACAUUUUGGAGGAGUUGACAGAUAAAGACAAGGCUUGGGGGGUAUUUCCAAUGACAAGGAGGUGCUUCCGGCGGAGUUGAACCAGCGACCUUAGGAUCACAGCGUUUCACACAAGGAGCAUCUAACAGUGCACCUCUCUACCAACUGAGCUAUCAAGGUGCUCUCUAGUCGCAAGUGCAGAAAACAUAGUGGCUUCGGAGACACACUAUGCCCACAGAACUAUUCCAACCCAUGGUCAAUGAAAAGCCCAGCCCUACCUGCAGAACAUAGCUUUGCAGUUUGUACCCAACAGUCAUUGCCAGGGACCCAGAACUGAUAAUCAGAACUUUUAGGCUGGGUGAAUAAAAAAUUGAUGGUUGAAAAUUUAAGAAAGAGUUAUCUUGUUUGUGUCUUUACAUUUUGGAGGAGUUGACAGAUAAAGACAAGGCUUGGGGGUAUUUCCAAUGACAAGGAGGUGCUUCCGGCUGGAGUUGAACCAGCGACGUUAGGAUCACAGCGUUUCACACAAGGAGCAUCUUACAGUCCACCGCUCUACCAACUGAGAUAUCAAGGUGCUCUCUAGUCACAAGUGCAGAAAACAUAGUGGCUUCGGAGACACACUAUGCCCACAGAACUAUUCCAACCCAUGGUCAAUGAAAAGCCCAGCCCUACCUGACGAACAAAGCUUUGCAGUUUGUACCCAACAGUCAUUGCCAGGGACCCAGAACUGAUAAUCAGGACUUUUAGGCUGGGUGAAUAAAAAAUUGAUGGUUGAAAAUUUAAGAAAGAGUUAUCUUGUUUGUGUUUUUACAUUUUGGAGGAGUUGACAGAUAAAGACAAGGCUUGGGGGUAUUUCCAAUGACAAGGAGGUGCUUCCGGCUGGAGUUGAACCAGCGACCUUAGGAUCACGGCGUUUUACACAAGGAGCAUCUUACAGUCCACAGCUCUAACAACUGAGCUAUCAAGGUGCUCUCUAGUCACAAGUGCAGAAAACAUAGUGGCUUCGAAGACACACUAUGCCCACAGAACUAUUCCAACCCAUGGUCAAUGAAAAGCCCAGCCCUACCUGCAGAACAAAGCUUUGCAGUUUGUACCCAACAGUCAUUGCCAGGGACCCAGAACUGAUAAUCAGGACUUUUAGGCUGGGUGAAUAAAAAAUUGAUGGUUGAAAAUUUAAGAAAGAGUUAUCUUGUUUGUGUUUUUACAUUUUGGAGGAGUUGACAGAUAAAGACAAGGCUUGGGGGUAUUUCCAAUAACAAGGAGGUGCUUCCGGCUGGAGUUGAACCAGCGACGUUAGGAUCACAGCGUUUCACACAAGGAGCAUCUAACAGUCCACCGCUCUACCAAAUGAGCUAUCAAGGUGCUCUAUACUCACAAGUGCAGAAAACAUAGUGGCUUCGAAGACACACUAUGCCCACAGAACUAUUCCAACCCAUGGUCAAUGAAAAGCCCAGCCCUACCUGACGAACAAAGCUUUGCAGUUUGUACCCAACAGUCAUUGCCAGGGACCCAGAACUGAUAAUCAGGACUUUUAGGCUGGGUGAAUAAAAAAUUGAUGGUUGAAAAUUUAAGAAAGAGUUAUCUUGUUUGUGUUUUUACAUUUUGGAGGAGUUGACAGAUAAAGACAAGGCUUGGGGGGUAUUUCCAAUGACAAGGAGGUGCUUCCGGCUGGAGUUGAACCAGCGACCUUAGGAUCACAGCGUUUCACACAAGGAGCAUCUAACAGUGCACCGCUCUACCAACUGGGCUAUCAAGGUGCUCUCUAGUCGCAAGUGCAGAAAACAUAGUGGCUUCGGAGACACACUAUGCCCACAGAACUAUUCCAACCCAUGGUCAAUGAAAAGCCCAGCCCUACCUGCAGAACAUAGCUUUGCAGUUUGUACCCAACAGUCAUUGCCAGGGACCCAGAACUGAUAAUCAGAACUUUUAGGCUGGGUGAAUAAAAAAUUGAUGGUUGAAAAUUUAAGAAAGAGUUAUCUUGUUUGUGUUUUUACAUUUUGGAGGAGUUGACAGAUAAAGACAAGGCCUGGGGGUAUUUCCAAUGACAAGGAGGUGCUUCCGGCUGGAGUUGAACCAGCAACCUUAGGAUCACAGCGUUUCACACAAGGAGCAUCUUACAGUCCACCGCUCUACCAACUGAGCUAUCAAGGUGCUCUCUAGUCACAAGUGCAGAAAACAUAGUGGCUUCGGAGACACACUAUGCCCACAGAACUAUUCCAACCCAUGGUCAAUGAAAAGCCCAGCCCUACCUGCAGAACAUAGCUUUGCAGUUUGUACCCAACAGUCAUUGCCAGGGACCCAGAACUGAUAAUCAGAACUUUUAGGCUGGGUGAAUAAAAAAUUGAUGGUUGAAAAUUUAAGAAAGAGUUAUCUUGUUUGUGUUUUUACAUUUUGGAGGAGUUGACAGAUAAAGACAAGGCUUGGGGGUAUUUCCAAUGACAAGGAGGUGCUUCCGGCUGGAGUUGAACCAGCGACCUUAGGAUCACAGCGUUUCACACAAGGAGCAUCUUACAGUCCACUGCUCUAACAACUGAGCUAUCAAGGUGCUCUCUAGUCACAAGUGCAGAAAACAUAGUGGCUUCGAAGACACACUAUGCCCACAGAACUAUUCCAACCCAUGGUCAAUGAAAAGCCCAGCCCUACCUGCAGAACAAAGCUUUGCAGUUUGUACCCAACAGUCAUUGCCAGGGACCCAGAACUGAUAAUCAGGUCUUUUAGGCUGGGUGAAUAAAAAAUUGAUGGUUGAAAAUUUAAGAAAGAGUUAUCUUGUUUGUGUUUUUACAUUUUGGAGGAGUUGACAGAUAAAGACAAGGCUUGGGGGUAUUUCCAAUGACAAGGAGGUGCUUCCGGCUGGAGUUGAACCAGCGACGUUAGGAUCACAGCGUUUCACACAAGGAGCAUCUUACAGUCCACUGCUCUACCAACUGAGCUAUCAAGGUGCUCUAUACUCACAAGUGCAGAAAACAUAGUGGCUUCGAAGACACACUAUGCCCACAGAACUAUUCCAACCCAUGGUCAAUGAAAAGCCCAGCCCUACCUGACGAACAAAGCUUUGCAGUUUGUACCCAACAGUCAUUGCCAGGGACCCAGAACUGAUAAUCAGGACUUUUAGGCUGGGUGAAUAAAAAAUUGAUGGUUGAAAAUUUAAGAAAGAGUUAUCUUGUUUGUGUUUUUACAUUUUGGAGGAGUUGACAGAUAAAGACAAGGCUUGGGGGUAUUUCCAAUGACAAGGAGGUGCUUCCGGCUGGAGUUGAACCAGCGACCUUAGGAUCACAGCGUUUCACACAAGGAGCAUCUUACAGUCCACCGCUCUACCAACUGAGCUAUCAAGGUGCUCUCUAGUCACAAGUGCAGAAAACAUAGUGGCUUCGAAGACACACUAUGCCCACAGAACUAUUCCAACCCAUGGUCAAUGAAAAGCCCAGCCCUACCUGACGAACAAAGCUUUGCAGUUUGUACCCAACAGUCAUUGCCAGGGACCCAGAACUGAUAAUCAGGACUUUUAGGCUGGGUGAAUAAAAAAUUGAUGGUUGAAAAUUUAAGAAAGAGUUAUCUUGUUUGUGUUUUUACAUUUUGGAGGAGUUGACAGAUAAAGACAAGGCUUGGGGGUAUUUCCAAUGACAAGGAGGUGCUUCCGGCUGGAGUUGAACCAGCGACCUUAGGAUCACAGCGUUUCACACAAGGAGCAUCUUACAGUCCACCGCUCUACCAACUGAGCUAUCAAGGUGCUCUCUAGUCACAAGUGCAGAAAACAUAGUGGCUUCGAAGACACACUAUGCCCACAGAACUAUUCCAACCCAUGGUCAAUGAAAAGCCCAGCCCUACCUGACGAACAAAGCUUUGCAGUUUGUACCCAACAGUCAUUGCCAGGGACCCAGAACUGAUAAUCAGGACUUUUAGGCUGGGUGAAUAAAAAAUUGAUGGUUGAAAAUUUAAGAAAGAGUUAUCUUGUUUGUGUUUUUACAUUUUGGAGGAGUUGACAGAUAAAGACAAGGCUUGGGGGAAUUUCCAGUGACAAGGAGGUGCUUCCGGCUGGAGUUGAACCAGCGACCUUAGGAUAACAGGGUUUCACACAAGGAGCAUCUUACAGUCCACCGCUCUACCAACUGAGCUAUCAAGGUGCUCUCUAGUCACAAGUGCAGAAAACAUAGUGGCUUCGAAGACACACUAUGCCCACAGAACUAUUCCAACCCAUGGUCAAUGAAAAGCCCAGCCCUACCUGACGAACAAAGCUUUGCAGUUUGUACCCAACAGUCAUUGCCAGGGACCCCGAACUGAUAAUCAGGACUUUUAGGCUGGGUGAAUAAAAAAUUGAUGGUUGAAAAUUUAAGAAAGAGUUAUCUUGUUUGUGUUUUUACAUUUUGGAGGAGUUGACAGAUAAAGACAAGGGUUGGGGGUAUUUCCAAUGACAAGGAGGUGCUUCCGGCUGGAGUUGAACCAGCGACAUUAGGAUCACAGCGUUUCACACAAGGAGCAUCUAAUAGUCCACAGCUCUACCAACUGAGCUAUCAAGGUGCUCUAUACUCACAAGUGCAGAAAAGAUAGUGGCUUCGAAGACACACUAUGCCCACAGAACUAUUCCAACCCAUGGUCAAUGAAAAGCCCAGCCCUACCUGACGAACAAAGCUUUGCAGUUUGUACCCAACAGUCAUUGCCAGGGACCCAGAACUGAUAAUCAGGACUUUUAGGCUGGGUGAAUAAAAAAUUGAUGGUUGAAAAUUUAAGAAAGAGUUAUCUUGUUUGUGUUUUUACAUUUUGGAGGAGUUGACAGAUAAAGACAAGGCUUGGGGGUAUUUCCAAUGACAAGGAGGUGCUUCCGGUUGGAGUUGAACCAGCGACCUUAGGAUCACAGCGUUUCACACAAGGAGCAUCUUACAGUCCACCGCUCUACCAACUGAGCUAUCAAGGUGCUCUCUAGUCACAAGUGCAGAAAACAUAGUGGCUUCGAAGACACACUAUGCCCACAGAACUAUUCCAACCCAUGGUCAAUGAAAAGCCCAGCCCUACCUGCAGAACAAAGCUUUGCAGUUUGUACCCAACAGUCAUUGCCAGGGACCCAGAACUGAUAAUCAGGACUUUUAGGCUGGGUGAAUAAAAAAUUGAUGGUUGAAAAUUUAAGAAAGAGUUAUCUUGUUUGUGAUUUUUACAUUUUGGAGGAGUUGACAGAUAAAGACAAGGCUUGGGGGUAUUUCCAAUGACAAGGAGGUGCUUCCGGCUGGAGUUGAACAAGCGACCUUAGGAUCACAGCAUUUCACACAAGGAGCAUCUUACAGUCCACCGCUCUACCAACUGAGCUAUCAAGGUGCUCUAUACUCACAAGUGCAGAAAACAUAGUGGCUUCGAAGACACACUAUGCCCACAGAACUAUUCCAACCCAUGGUCAAUGAAAAGCCCAGCCCUACCUGACGAACAAAGCUUUGCAGUUUGUACCCAACAGUCAUUGCCAGGGACCCAGAACUGAUAAUCAGGACUUUUAGGCUGGGUGAAUAAAAAAUUGAUGGUUGAAAAUUUAAGAAAGAGUUAUCUUGUUUGUGUUUUUACAUUUUGGAGGAGUUGACAGAUAAAGACAAGGCUUGGGGUGUAUUUCCAAUGACAAGGAGGUGCUUCCGGCGGAGUUGAACCAGCGACCUUAGGAUCACAGCGUUUCACACAAGGAGCAUCUAACAGUGCACCGCUCUACCAACUGAGCUAUCAAGGUGCUCUCUAGUCGCAAGUGCAGAAAACAUAGUGGCUUCGGAGACACACUAUGCCCACAGAACUAUUCCAACCCAUGGUCAAUGAAAAGCCCAGCCCUACCUGCAGAACAUAGCUUUGCAGUUUGUACCCAACAGUCAUUGCCAGGGACCCAGAACUGAUAAUCAGAACUUUUAGGCUGGGUGAAUAAAAAAUUGAUGGUUGAAAAUUUAAGAAAGAGUUAUCUUGUUUGUGUUUUUACAUUUUGGAGGAGUUGAAAGAUAAAGACAAGGCUUGGGGGUAUUUCCAAUGACAAGGAGGUGCUUCCGGUUGGAGUUGAACCAGCAACCUUAGGAUCACAGCGUUUUACACAAGGAGCAUCUUACAGUCCACUGCUCUACCAACUGAGCUAUCAAGGUGCUCUCUAGUCACAAGUGCAGAAAACAUAGUGGCUUCGAAGACACACUAUGCCCACAGAACUAUUCCAACCCAUGGUCAAUGAAAAGCCCAGCCCUACCUGCAGAACAAAGCUUUGCAGUUUGUACCCAACAGUCAUUGACAGGGACCCAGAACUGAUAAUCAGGACUUUUAGGCUGGGUGAAUAAAAAAUUGAUGGUUGAAAAUUUAAGAAAGAGUUAUCUUGUUUGUGUUUUUACAUUUUGGAGGAGUUGACAGAUAAAGACAAGGCUUGGGGGUAUUUCCAAUGACAAGGAGGUGCUUCCGGCUGGAGUUGAACCAGCGACCUUAGGAUCACAGCGUUUCACACAACGAGCAUCUUACAGUCCACCGCUCUACCAACUGAGCUAUCAAGGUGAUCUCUAGUCACAAGUGCAGAAAACAUAGUGGCUUCGAAGACACACUAUGCCCACAGAACUAUUCCAACCCAUGGUCAAUGAAAAGCCCAGCCCUACCUGACGAACAAAGCUUUGCAGUUUGUACCCAACAGUCAUUGCCUGGGACCCAGAACUGAUAAUCAGGACUUUUAGGCUGGGUGAAUAAAAAAUUGAUGGUUGAAAAUUUAAGAAAGAGUUAUCUUGUUUGUGUUUUAACAUUUUGGAGGAGUUGACAGAUAAAGACAAGGCUUGGGGGAAUUUCCAGUGACAAGGAGGUGCUUCCGGCUGGAGUUGAACCAGCGACCUUAGGAUAACAGGGUUUCACACAAGGAGCAUCUUACAGUCCACCGCUCUACCAACUGAGCUAUCAAGGUGCUCUCUAGUCACAAGUGCAGAAAACAUAGUGGCUUCGAAGACACACUAUGCCCACAGAACUAUUCCAACCCAUGGUCAAUGAAAAGCCCAGCCCUACCUGACGAACAAAGCUUUGCAGUUUGUACCCAACAGUCAUUGCCAGGGACCCAGAACUGAUAAUCAGGACUUUUAGGCUGGGUGAAUAAAAAAUUGAUGGUUGAAAAUUUAAGAAAGAGUUAUCUUGUUUGUGUUUUUACAUUUUGGAGGAGUUGACAGAUAAAGACAAGGCUUGGGGGAAUUUCCAGUGACAAGGAGGUGCUUCCGGCUGGAGUUGAACCAGCGACCUUAGGAUAACAGGGUUUCACACAAGGAGCAUCUUACAGUCCACCGCUCUACCAACUGAGCUAUCAAGGUGCUCUCUAGUUGCAAGUGCAGAAAACAUAGUGGCUUCGAAGACACACUAUGCCCACAGAACUAUUCCAACCCAUGGUCAAUGAAAAGCCCAGCCCUACCUGACGAACAAAGCUUUGCAGUUUGUACCCAACAGUCAUUGCCAGGGACCCAGAACUGAUAAUCAGGACUUUUAGGCUGGGUGAAUAAAAAAUUGAUGGUUGAAAAUUUAAGAAAGAGUUAUCUUGUUUGUGUUUUUACAUUUUGGAGGAGUUGACAGAUAAAGACAAGGCUUGGGGGUAUUUCCAAUGACAAGGAGGUGCUUCCGGUUGGAGUUGAACCAGCGACCUUAGGAUCACAGCGUUUCACACAAGGAGCAUCUUACAGUCCACCGCUCUACCAACUGAGCUAUCAAGGUGCUCUCAAGUCACAAGUGCAGAAAACAUAGUGGCUUCGAAGACACACUAUGCCCACAGAACUAUUCCAACCCAUGGUCAAUGAAAAGCCCAGCCCUACCUGCAGAACAAAGCUUUGCAGUUUGUACCCAACAGUCAUUGCCAGGGACCCAGAACUGAUAAUCAGGACUUUUAGGCUGGGUGAAUAAAAAAUUGAUGGUUGAAAAUUUAAGAAAGAGUUAUCUUGUUUGUGAUUUUUACAUUUUGGAGGAGUUGACAGAUAAAGACAAAGGCUUGGGGGUAUUUCCAAUGACAAGGAGGUGCUUCCGGCUGGAGUUGAACCAGCGACCUUAGGAUCACAGCGUUUCCCACAAGGAGCAUCUUACAGUCCACCGCUCUACCAACUGAGCUAUCAAGGUGCUCUAUACUCACAAGUGCAGAAAACAUAGUGGCUUCGAAGACACACUAUGCCCACAGAACUAUUCCAACCCAUGGUCAAUGAAAAGCCCAGCCCUACCUGACGAACAAAGCUUUGCAGUUUGUACCCAACAGUCAUUGCCAGGGACCCGGCUGGGUGAAUAAAAAAUUGAUGGUUGAAAAUUUAAGAAAGAGUUAUCUUGUUUGUGUUUUUACAUUUUGGAGGAGUUGACAGAUAAAGACAAGGCUUGGGGGUAUUUCUAAUGACAAGGAGGUGCUUCCGGCUGGAGUUGAACCAGCGACCUUAGGAUCACAGCGUUUCACACAAGGAGCAUCUUACAGUCCACCGCUCUACCAACUGAGCUAUCAAGGUGCUCUCUAGUCACAAGUGCAGAAAACAUAGUGGCUUCGGAGACACACUAUGCCCACAGAACUAUUCCAACCCAUGGUCAAUGAAAAGCCCAGCCCUACCUGCAGAACAUAGCUUUGCAGUUUGUACCCAACAGUCAUUGCCAGGGACCCAGAACUGAUAAUCAGAACUUUUAGGCUGGGUGAAUAAAAAAUUGAUGGUUGAAAAUUUAAGAAAGAGUUAUCUUGUUUGUGUUUUUACAUUUUGGAGGAGUUGACAGAUAAAGACAAGGCUUGGGGGUAUUUCCAAUGACAAGGAGGUGCUUCCGGCUGGAGUUGAACCAGCGACCUUAGGAUCACAGCGUUUCACACAAGGAGCAUCUUACAGUCCACUGCUCUAACAAGUGAGCUAUCAAGGUGCUCUCUAGUCACAAGUGCAGAAAACAUAGUGGCUUCGAAGACACACUAUGCCCACAGAACUAUUCCAACCCAUGGUCAAUGAAAAGCCCAGCCCUACCUGCAGAACAAAGCUUUGCAGUUUGUACCCAACAGUCAUUGACAGGGACCCAGAACUGAUAAUCAGGACUUUUAGGCUGGGUGAAUAAAAAAUUGAUGGUUGAAAAUUUAAGAAAGAGUUAUCUUGUUUGUGUUUUUACAUUUUGGAGGAGUUGACAGAUAAAGACAAGGCUUGGGGGUAUUUCCAAUGACAAGGAGGUGCUUCCGGCUGGAGUUGAACCAGCGACCUUAGGAUCACAGCGUUUCACACAAGGAGCAUCUUACAGUCCACCGCUCUACCAACUGAGCUAUCAAGGUGCUCUCUAGUCACAAGUGCAGAAAACAUAGUGGCUUCGAAGACACACUAUGCCCACAGAACUAUUCCAACCCAUGGUCAAUGAAAAGCCCAGCCCUACCUGACGAACAAAGCUUUGCAGUUUGUACCCAACAGUCAUUGCCAGGGACCCAGAACUGAUAAUCAGGACUUUUAGGCUGGGUGAAUAAAAAAUUGAUGGUUGAAAAUUUAAGAAAGAGUUAUCUUGUUUGUGUUUUUACAUUUUGGAGGAGUUGACAGAUAAAGACAAGGCUUGGGGGAAUUUCCAGUGACAAGGAGGUGCUUCCGGCUGGAGUUGAACCAGCGACCUUAGGAUAACAGGGUUUCACACAAGGAGCAUCUUACAGUCCACCGCUCUACCAACUGAGCUAUCAAGGUGCUCUAUACUCACAAGUGCAGAAAACAUAGUGGCUUCGAAGACACACUAUGCCCACAGAACUAUUCCAACCCAUGGUCAAUGAAAAGCCCAGCCCUACCUGACGAACAAAGCUUUGCAGUUUGUACCCAACAGUCAUUGCCAGGGACCCAGAACUGAUAAUCAGGACUUUUAGGCUGGGUGAAUAAAAAAUUGAUGGUUGAAAAUUUAAGAAAGAGUUAUCUUGUUUGUGUUUUUACAUUUUGGAGGAGUUGACAGAUAAAGACAAGGCUUGAGGGGUAAUUCCAAUGACAAGGAGGUGCUUCCGGCUGGAGUUGAACCAGCGACCUUAGGAUCACAGCGUUUCACACAAGGAGCAUCUAACAGUGCACCGCUCUACCAACUGAGCUAUCAAGGUGCUCUCUAGUCGCAAGUGCAGAAAACAUAGUGGCUUCGGAGACACACUAUGCCCACAGAACUAUUCCAACCCAUGGUCAAUGAAAAGCCCAGCCCUACCUGCAGAACAUAGCUUUGCAGUUUGUACCCAACAGUCAUUGCCAGGGACCCAGAACUGAUAAUCAGAACUUUUAGGCUGGGUGAAUAAAAAAUUGAUGGUUGAAAAUUUAAGAAAGAGUUAUCUUGUUUGUGUUUUUACAUUUUGGAGGAGUUGACAGAUAAAGACAAGGCUUGGGGGUAUUUCCAAUGACAAGGAGGUGCUUCCGGCUGGAGUUGAACCAGCGACCUUAGGAUCAGAGCGUUUCACACAAGGAGCAUCUUACAGUCCACCGCUCUACCAACUGAGCUAUCAAGGUGCUCUCUAGUCACAAGUGCAGAAAACAUAGUGGCUUCGAAGACACACUAUGCCCACAGAACUAUUCCAACCCAUGGUCAAUGAAAAGCCCAGCCCUACCUGACGAAGAAAGCUUUGCAGUUUGUACCCAACAGUCAUUGCCAGGGACCCAGAACUGAUAAUCAGGACUUUUAGGCUGGGUGAAUAAAAAAUUGAUGGUUGAAAAUUUAAGAAUGAGUUAUCUUGUUUGUGUUUUUACAUUUUGGAGGAGUUGACAGAUAAAGACAAGGCUUGGGGGUAUUUCCAAUGACAAGGAGGUGCUUCCGGCUGGAGUUGAACCAGAGACAUUAGGAUCACAGCGUUUCACACAAGGAGCAUCUAACAGUCCACCGCUCUACCAACUGAGCUAACAAGGUGGUCUAUACUCACAAGUGCAGAAAACAUAGUGGCUUCGAAGACACACUAUGCCCACAGAACUAUUCCCACCCAUGGUCAAUGAAAAGCCCAGCCCUACCUGACGAACAAAGCUUUGCAGUUUGUACCCAACAGUCAUUGCCAGGGACCCAGAACUGAUAAUCAGGACUUUUAGGCUGGGUGAAUAAAAAAUUGAUGGUUGAAAAUUUAAGAAAGAGUUAUCUUGUUUGUGCUUUUACAUUUUGGAGGAGUUGACAGAUAAAGACAAGGCUUGGGGGUAUUUCCAAUGACAAGGAGGUGCUUCCGGCUGGAGUUGAACCAGCGACCUUAGGAUCACAGCGUUUCACACAAGGAGCAUCUUACAGUCCACCGCUCUACCAACUGAGCUAUCAAGGUGCUCUCUAGUCACAAGUGCAGAAAACAUAGUGGCUUCGAAGACACACUAUGCCCACAGAACUAUUCCAACCCAUGGUCAAUGAAAAGCCCAGCCCUACCUGACGAACAAAGCUUUGCAGUUUGUACCCAACAGUCAUUGCCAGGGACCCAGAACUGAUAAUCAGGACUUUUAGGCUGGGUGAAUAAAAAAUUGAUGGUUGAAAAUUUAAGAAAGAGUUAUAUUGUUUGAGUUUUUACAUUUUGGAGGAGUUGACAGAUAAAGACAAGGCUUGGGGGUAUUUCCAAUGACAAGGAGGUGCUUCCGGCUGGAGUUGAACCAGCGACAUUAGGAUCACAGCGUUUCACACAAGGAGCAUCUAACAGUCCACCGCUCUACCAACUGAGCUAUCAAGGUGGUCUAUACUCACAAGUGCAGAAAAGAUAGUGGCUUCGAAGACACACUAUGCCCACAGAACUAUUCCAACCCAUGGUCAAUGAAAAGCCCAGCCCUACCUGACGAACAAAGCUUUGCAGUUUGUACCCAACAGUCAUUGCCAGGGACCCAGAACUGAUAAUCAGGACUUUUAGGCUGGGUGAAUAAAAAAUUGAUGGUUGAAAAUUUAAGAAAGAGUUAUCUUGUUUGUGUUUUUACAUUUUGGAGGAGUUGACAGAUAAAGACAAGGCUUGGGGGUAUUUCCAAUGACAAGGAGGUGCUUCCGGCUGGAGUUGAACCAGCGACAUUAGGAUCACAGCGUUUCACACAAGGAGCAUCUUACAGUCCACCGCUCUACCAACUGAGCUAUGAAGGUGCUCUCUAGUCGCAAGUGCAGAAAACAUAGUGGCUUCGAAGACACACUAUGCCCACAGAACUAUUCCAACCCAUGGUCAAUGAAAAGCCCAGCCCUACCUGACGAACAAAGCUUUGCAGUUUGUACCCAACAGUCAUUGCCAGGGACCCAGAACUGAUAAUCAGGACUUUUAGGCUGGGUGAAUAAAAAAUUGAUGGUUGAAAAUUUAAGAAAGAGUUAUCUUGUUUGUGUUUUUACAUUUUGGAGGAGUUGACAGAUAAAGACAAGGCUUGGGGGUAUUUCCAAUGACAAGGAGGUGCUUCCGGCUGGAGUUGAACCAGUGACCUUAGGAUCACAGCGUUUCACACAAGGAGCAUCUUACAGUGCACCGCUCUACCAACUGAGCUAUCAAGGUGCUCUCUAGUCACAAGUGCAGAAAACAUAGUGGCUUCGAAGACACACUAUGCCCACAGAACUAUUCCAACCCAUGGUCAAUGAAAAGCCCAGCCCUACCUGCAGAACAAAGCUUUGCAGUUUGUACCCAACAGUCAUUGCCAGGGACCCAGAACUGAUAAUCAGGACUUUUAGGCUGGGUGAAUAAAAAAUUGAUGGUUGAAAAUUUAAGAAAGAGUUAUCUUGUUUGUGAUUUUUACAUUUUGGAAGAGUUGACAGAUAAAGACAAGGCUUGGGGGUAUUUCCAAUGACAAGGAGGUGCUUCCGGCUGGAGUUGAACAAGCGACCUUAGGAUCACAGCGUUUCCCACAAGGAGCAUCUUACAGUGCACCGCUCUACCAACUGAGCUAUCAAGGUGCUCUCUAGUCACAAGUGCAGAAAACAUAGUGGCUUCGAAGACACACUAUGCCCACAGAACUAUUCCAACCCAUGGUCAAUGAAAAGCCCAGCCCUACCUGCAGAACAAAGCUUUGCAGUUUGUACCCAACAGUCAUUGCCAGGGACCCAGAACUGAUAAUCAGGACUUUUAGGCUGGGUGAAUCAAAAAUUGAUGGUUGAAAAUUUAAGAAAGAGUUAUCUUGUUUGUGAUUUUUACAUUUUGGAGGAGUUGACAGAUAAAGACAAGGCUUGGGGGUAUUUCCAAUGACAAGGAGGUGCUUCCGGCUGGAGUUGAACAAGCGACCUUAGGAUCACAGCGUUUCCCACAAGGAGCAUCUUACAGUCCACCGCUCUACCAACUGAGCUAUCAAGGUGCUCUCUAGUCACAAGUGCAGAAAACAUAGAGGCUUCGAAGACACACUAUGCCCACAGAACUAUUCCAACCCAUGGUCAAUGAAAAGCCCAGCCCUACCUGACGAACAAAGCUUUGCAGUUUGUACCCAACAGUCAUUGCCAGGGACCCAGAACUGAUAAUCAGGACUUUUAGGCUGGGUGAAUAAAAAAUUGAUGGUUGAAAAUUUCAGAAAGAGUUAUUUGUUUGUGUUUUUACAUUUUGGAGGAGUUGACAGAUAAAGACAAGGCUUGGGGGUAUUUCCAAUGACAAGGAGGUGCUUCCGGCUGGAGUUGAACCAGCGACCUUAGGAUAACAGCGUUUCACACAAGGAGCAUCUGACAGUCCACCGCUCUACCAACUGAGCUGUCAAGAUGCUCUCUAGUCACAAGUGCAGAAAACAUAGUGGCUUCGAAGACACACUAUGCCCACAGAACUAUUCCAACCCAUGGUCAAUGAGAAGCCCAGCCCUACCUGCAGAACAAAGCUUUGCAGUUUGUACCCAACAGUCAUUGCCAGGGACCCAGAACUGAUAAUCAGGACUUUUAGGCUGGGUGAAUAAAAAAUUGAUGGUUGAAAAUUUAAGAAAGAGUUAUUUGUUUGUGUUUUUACAUUUUGGAGGAGUUGACAGAUAAAGACAAGGCUUGGGGGUAUUUCCAAUGACAAGGAGGUGCUUCCGGCUGGAGUUGAACCAGCGACCUUAGGAUCACAGCGUUUCACACAAGGAGCAUCUUACAGUCCACCGCUCUACCAACUGAGCUAUCAAGGUGCUCUCUAGUCACAAGUGCAGAAAACAUAGUGGCUUCGAAGACACACUAUGCCCACAGAACUAUUCCAACCCAUGGUCAAUGAAAAGCCCAGCCCUACCUGCAGAACAAAGCUUUGCAGUUUGUACCCAACAGUCAUUGCCAGGGACCCAGAACUGAUAAUCAGGACUUUUAGGCUGGGUGAAUAAAAAAUUGAUGGUUGAAAAUUUAAGAGUUAUCUUGUUUGUGUUUUUACAUUUUGGAGGAGUUGACAGAUAAAGACAAGGCUUGGGGGUAUUUCGAAUGACAAGGAGGUGCUUCCGGCUGGAGUUGAACCAGCAACCUUAGGAUCACAGCGUUUCACACAAGGAGAAUCUUACAGUCCACCGCUCUACCAACUGAGCUAUCAAGGUGCUCUCUAGUCACAAGUGCAGAAAACAUAGUGGCUUCGAAGACACACUAUGCCCACAGAACUAUUCCAACCCAUGGUCAAUGAAAAGCCCAGCCCUACCUGACGAACAAAGCUUUGCAGUUUGUACCCAACAGUCAUUGCCAGGGACCCAGAACUGAUAAUCAGGACUUUUAGGCUGGGUGAAUAAAAAAUUGAUGGUUGAAAAUUUAAGAAAGAGUUAUCUUGUUUGUGUUUUUACAUUUUGGAGGAGUUGACAGAUAAAGACAAGGCCUUGGGGUAUUUCCAAUGACAGAGAGGUGCUUCCGGCUGGAGUUGAACCAGCCACCUUAGGAUCACAGCGUUUCACACAAGGAGCAUCUUACAGUCCACCGCUCUACCAACUGAGCUAUCAAGGUGCUCUCUAGUCACAAGUGCAGAAAACAUAGUGGCUUCGAAGACACACUAUGCCCACGGAACUAUUCCAACCCAUGGUCAAUGAAAAGCCCAGCCCUACCUGACGAACAAAGCUUUGCAGUUUGUACCCAACAGUCAUUGCCAGGGACCCAGAACUGAUAAUCAGGACUUUUAGGCUGGGUGAAUAAAAAAUUGAUGGUUGAAAAUUUAAGAAAGAGUUAUCUUGUUUGUGUUUUUACAUUUUGGAGGAGUUGACAGAUAAAGACAAGGCUUGGGGGUAUUUCCAAUGAGAAGGAGGUGCUUCCGGCUGGAGUUGAACCAGCGACCUUAGGAUCACAGCGUUUCACACAAGGAGCAUCUUACAGUCCACCGCUCUACCAACUGAGCUAUCAAGGUGCUCUCUAGUCACAAGUGCAGAAAACAUAGUGGCUUCGAAGACACACUAUGCCCACAGAACUAUUCCAACCCAUGGUCAAUGAAAAGCCCAGCCCUACCUGACGAACAAAGCUUUGCAAUUUGUACCCAACAGUCAUUGCCAGGGACCCAGAACUGAUAAUCAGGACUUUUAGGCUGGGUGAAUAAAAAAUUGAUGGUUGAAAAUUUAAGAAAGAGUUAUAUUGUUUGAGUUUUUACAUUUUGGAGGAGUUGACAGAUAAAGACAAGGCUUGGGGGUAUUUCCAAUGACAAGGAGGUGCUUCCGGCUGGAGUUGAACCAGCGACAUUAGGAUCACAGCGUUUCACACAAGGAGCAUCUAACAGUCCACCGCUCUACCAACUGAGCUAUCAAGGUGCUCUAUACUCACAAGUGCAGAAAAGAUAGUGGCUUCGAAGACACACUAUGCCCACAGAACUAUUCCAACCCAUGGUCAAUGAAAAGCCCAGCCCUACCUGACGAACAAAGCUUUGCAGUUUGUACCCAACAGUCAUUGCCAGGGACCCAGAACUGAUAAUCAGGACUUUUAGGCUGGGUGAAUAAAAAAUUGAUGGUUGAAAAUUUAAGAAAGAGUUAUCUUGUUUGUGUUUUUACAUUUUGGAGGAGUUGACAGAUAAAGACAAGGCUUGGGGGUAUUUCCAAUGACAAGGAGGUGCUUCCGGCUGGAGUUGAACCAGCAACCUUAGGAUCACAGCGUUUCACACAAGGAGCAUCUUACAGUCCACCGCUCUACCAACUGAUCUAUAAAGGUGCUCUCUACUCAAAAGUGCAGAAAACAUAGUGGCUUCGAAGACACACUAUGCCCACAGAACUAUUCCAACCCAUGGUCAAUGAAAAGCCCAGCCCUACCUGCAGAACAAAGCUUUGCAGUUUGUACCCAACAGUCAUUGCCAGGGACCCAGAACUGAUAAUCAGGACUUUUAGGCUGGGUGAAUAAAAAAUUGAUGGUUGAAAAUUUAAGAAAGAGUUAUAUUGUUUGAGUUUUUACAUUUUGGAGGAGUUGACAGAUAAAGACAAGGCUUGGGGGUAUUUCCAAUGACAAGGAGGUGCUUCCGGCUGGAGUUGAACCAGCGACAUUAGGAUCACAGCGUUUCACACAAGGAGCAUCUAACAGUCCACCGCUCUACCAACUGAGCUAUCAAGGUGCUCUAUACUCACAAGUGCAGAAAAGAUAGUGGCUUCGAAGACACACUAUGCCCACAGAACUAUUCCAACCCAUGGUCAAUGAAAAGCCCAGCCCUACCUGACGAACAAAGCUUUGCAGUUUGUACCCAACAGUCAUUGCCAGGGACCCAGAACUGAUAAUCAGGACUUUUAGGCUGGGUGAAUAAAAAAUUGAUGGUUGAAAAUUUAAGAAAGAGUUAUCUUGUUUGUGUUUUUACAUUUUGGAGGAGUUGACAGAUAAAGACAAGGCUUGGGGGUAUUUCCAAUGACAAGGAGGUGCUUCCGGCUGGAGUUGAACCAGCGACCUUAGGAUCACAGCGUUUCACACAAGGAGCAUCUUACAGUCCACCGCUCUACCAACUGAACUAUAAAGGUGCUCUCUACUCAAAAGUGCAGAAAACAUAGUGGCUUCGAAGACACACUAUGCCCACAGAACUAUUCCAACCCAUGGUCAAUGAAAAGCCCAGCCCUACCUGCAGAACAAAGCUUUGCAGUUUGUACCCAACAGUCAUUGCCAGGGACCCAGAACUGAUAAUCAGGACUUUUAGGCUGGGUGAAUAAAAAAUUGAUGGUUGAAAAUUUAAGAAAGAAUUAUCUUGUUUGUGUUUUUACAUUUUGGAGGAGUUGAUAGAUAAAGACAAGGCUUGGGGGUAUUUCCAAUGACAAGGAGGUGCUUCCGGCUGGAGUUGAACCAGCGACCUUAGGAUCACAGCGUUUCACACAAGGAGCAUCUUACAGUCCACCGCUCUAACAACUGAGCUAUCAAGGUGCUCUCUAGUCACAAGUGCAGAAAACAUAGUGGCUUCGAAGACACACUAUGCCCACAGAACUAUUCCAACCCAUGGUCAAUGAAAAGCCCAGCCCUACCUGACGAACAAAGCUUUGCAGUUUGUACCCAACAGUCAUUGCCAGGGACCCAGAACUGAUAAUCAGGACUUUUAGGCUGGGUGAAUAAAAAAUUGAUGGUUGAAAAUUUAAGAAAGAGUUAUCUUGUUUGUGUUUUUACAUUUUGGAGGAGUUGACAGAUAAAGACAAGGCUUGGGGGUAUUUCCAAUAACAAGGAGGUGCUUCCGGCUGGAGUUGAAACAGCGACCUUAGGAUCACAGCGUUUCACACAAGGAGCAUCUAACAGUCCACCGCUCUACCAACUGAGCUAUCAAGGUGCUCUCUAGUCACAAGUGCAGAAAACAUAGUGGCUUCGAAGACACACUAUGCCCACAGAACUAUUCCAACCCAUGGUCAAUGAAAAGCCCAGCCCUACCUGACGAACAAAGCUUUGCAGUUUGUACCCAACAGUCAUUGCCAGGGACCCAGAACUGAUAAUCAGGACUUUUAGGCUGGGUGAAUAAAAAAUUGAUGGUUGAAAAUUUAAGAAAGAGUUAUCUUGUUUGUGAUUUUUACAUUUUGGAGGAGUUGACAGAUAAAGACAAGGCUUGGGGGUAUUUCCAAUGACAAGGAGGUGCUUCCGGCUGGAGUUGAACAAGCGACCUUAGGAUCACAGCGUUUCCCACAAGGAGCAUCUUACAGUCCACCGCUCUACCAACUGAGCUAUCAAGGUGCUCUCUAGUCACAAGUGCAGAAAACAUAGAGGCUUCGAAGACACACUAUGCCCACAGAACUAUUCCAACCCAUGGUCAAUGAAAAGCCCAGCCCUACCUGACGAACAAAGCUUUGCAGUUUGUACCCAACAGUCAUUGCCAGGGACCCAGAACUGAUAAUCAGGACUUUUAGGCUGGGUGAAUAAAAAAUUGAUGGUUGAAAAUUUAAGAAAGAGUUAUCUUGUUUGUGUUUUUACAUUUUGGAGGAGUUGACAGAUAAAGAAAGGCUUGGGGGUAUUUCGAAUGACAAGGAGGUGCUUCCGGCUGGAGUUGAACCAGCGACCUCAGGAUCACAGCGUUUCACACAAGGAGCAUCUUACAGUCCACCGCUCUACCAACUGAGCUAUCAAGGUGCGCUCUAGUCACAAGUGCAGAAAACAUAGUGGCUUCGAAGACACACUAUGCCCACAGAACUAUUCCAACCCAUGGUCAAUGAAAAGCCCAGCCCUACCUGACGAACAAAGCUUUGCAGUUUGUACCCAACAGUCAUUGCCAGGGACCCAGAACUGAUAAUCAGGACUUUUAGGCUGGGUGAAUAAAAAAUUGAUGGUUGAAAAUUGAAGAAAGAGUUAUAUUGUUUGUGUUUUUACAUUUUGGAGGAGUUGACAGAUAAAGACAAGGCUUGGGGGUAUUUCGAAUGACAAGGAGGUGCUUCCGGCUGGAGUUGAACCAGCGACCUUAGGAUCACAGCGUUUCACACAAGGAGCAUCUUACAGUCCACCGCUCUACCAACUGAGCUAUCAAGGUGCUCUCUAGUCACAAGUGCAGAAAACAUAGUGGCUUCGAAGACACACUAUGCCCACAGAACUAUUCCAACCCAUGGUCAAUGAAAAGCCCAGCCCUACCUGACGAACAAAGCUUUGCAGUUUGUACCCAACAGUCAUUGCCAGGGACCCAGAACUGAUAAUCAGGACUUUUAGGCUGGGUGAAUAAAAAAUUGAUGGUUGAAAAUUUAAGAAAGAGUUAUCUUGUUUGUGUUUUUACAUUUUGGAGGAGUUGACAGAUAAAGACAAGGCUUGGGGGUAUUUCGAAUGACAAGGAGGUGCUUCCGGCUGGAGUUGAACCAGCGACCUUAGGAUCACAGCGUUUCACACAAGGAGCAUCUUACAGUCCACCGCUCUACCAACUGAGCUAUCAAGGUGCUCUCUAGUCACAAGUGCAGAAAACAUAGAGGCUUCGAAGACACACUAUGCCCACAGAACUAUUCCAACCCAUGGUCAAUGAAAAGCCCAGCCCUACCUGACGAACAAAGCUUUGCAGUUUGUACCCAACAGUCAUUGCCAGGGAUCCAGAACUGAUAAUCAGGACUUUUAGGCUGGGUGAAUAAAAAAUUGAUGGUUGAAAAUUUAAGAAAGUGUCAUCUUGUUUGUGUUUUUACAUUUUGGAGGAGUUGACAGAUAAAGACAAGGCUUGGGGGGUAUUUCCAAUGACAAGGAGGUGCUUCCGGCGGAAUUGAACCAGCGAGCUUAGGAUCACAGCGUUUCACACAAGGAGCAUCUUACAGUCCACCGCUGUACCAACUGAGCUAUCAAGGUGCUCUCUAGUCGCAAGUGCAGAAAACAUAGUGGCUUCGGAGACACACUAUGCCCACAGAACUAUUCCAACCCAUGGUCAAUGAAAAGCCCAGCCCUACCUGCAGAACAAAGCUUUGCAGUUUGUACCCAACAGUCAUUGCCAGGGACCCAGAACUGAUAAUCAGAACUUUUAGGCUGGGUGAAUAAAAAAUUGAUGGUUGAAAAUUUAAGAAAGAGUUAUCUUGUUUGUGUUUUUACAUUUUGGAGGAGUUGACAGAUAAAGACAAGGCUUGGGGGUAUUUCCAAUGACAAGGAGGUGCUUCCGGCUGGAGUUGAACCAGUGACCUUAGGAUCACAGCGUUUCACACAAGGAGCAUCUUACAGUCCACCGCUCUACCAAAUGAGCUAACAAGGUGCUCUAUAAUCACAAGUGCAGAAAACAUAGUGGCUUCGAAGACACACUAUGCCCACAGAACUAUUCCAACCCAUGGUCAAUGAAAAGCCCAGCCCUACCUGCAGAACAAAGCUUUGCAGUUUGUACCCAACAGUCAUUGCCAGGGACCCAGAACUGAUAAUCAGGACUUUUAGGCUGGGUGAAUAAAAAAUUGAUGGUUGAAAAUUUAAGAAAGAAUUAUCUUGUUUGUGUUUUUACAUUUUGGAGGAGUUGAUAGAUAAAGACAAGGCUUGGGGGUAUUUCCAAUGACAAGGAGGUGCUUCCGGCUGGAGUUGAACCAGCGACCUUAGGAUCACAGCGUUUCACACAAGGAGCAUCUUACAGUCCACCGCUCUAACAACUGAGCUAUCAAGGUGCUCUCUAGUCACAAGUGCAGAAAACAUAGUGGCUUCGAAGACACACUAUGCCCACAGAACUAUUCCAACCCAUGGUCAAUGAAAAGCCCAGCCCUACCUGACGAACAAAGCUUUGCAGUUUGUACCCAACAGUCAUUGCCAGGGACCCAGAACUGAUAAUCAGGACUUUUAGGCUGGGUGAAUAAAAAAUUGAUGGUUGAAAAUUUAAGAAAGAGUUAUCUUGUUUGUGUUUUUACAUUUUGGAGGAGUUGACAGAUAAAGACAAGGCUUGGGGGUAUUUCCAAUGACAAGGAGGUGCUUCCGGCUGGAGUUGAACCAGCAACCUUAGGAUCACAGCGUUUCACACAAGGAGCAUCUUACAGUCCACCGCUCUACCAACUGAACUAUAAAGGUGCUCUCUACUCAAAAGUGCAGAAAACAUAGUGGCUUCGAAGACACACUAUGCCCACAGAACUAUUCCAACCCAUGGUCAAUGAAAAGCCCAGCCCUACCUGCAGAACAAAGCUUUGCAGUUUGUACCCAACAGUCAUUGCCAGGGACCCAGAACUGAUAAUCAGGACUUUUAGGCUGGGUGAAUAAAAAAUUGAUGGUUGAAAAUUUAAGAAAGAGUUAUAUUGUUUGAGUUUUUACAUUUUGGAGGAGUUGACAGAUAAAGACAAGGCUUGGGGGUAUUUCCAAUGACAAGGAGGUGCUUCCGGCUGGAGUUGAACCAGCGACAUUAGGAUCACAGCGUUUCACACAAGGAGCAUCUAACAGUCCACCGCUCUACCAACUGAGCUAUCAAGGUGCUCUAUACUCACAAGUGCAGAAAAGAUAGUGGCUUCGAAGACACACUAUGCCCACAGAACUAUUCCAACCCAUGGUCAAUGAAAAGCCCAGCCCUACCUGACGAACAAAGCUUUGCAGUUUGUACCCAACAGUCAUUGCCAGGGACCCAGAACUGAUAAUCAGGACUUUUAGGCUGGGUGAAUAAAAAAUUGAUGGUUGAAAAUUUAAGAAAGAGUUAUCUUGUUUGUGUUUUUACAUUUUGGAGGAGUUGACAGAUAAAGACAAGGCUUGGGGGUAUUUCCAAUGACAAGGAGGUGCUUCCGGCUGGAGUUGAACCAGCGACCUUAGGAUCACAGCGUUUCACACAAGGAGCAUCUUACAGUCCACCGCUCUACCAACUGAACUAUAAAGGUGCUCUCUACUCAAAAGUGCAGAAAACAUAGUGGCUUCGAAGACACACUAUGCCCACAGAACUAUUCCAACCCAUGGUCAAUGAAAAGCCCAGCCCUACCUGCAGAACAAAGCUUUGCAGUUUGUACCCAACAGUCAUUGCCAGGGACCCAGAACUGAUAAUCAGGACUUUUAGGCUGGGUGAAUAAAAAAUUGAUGGUUGAAAAUUUAAGAAAGAAUUAUCUUGUUUGUGUUUUUACAUUUUGGAGGAGUUGAUAGAUAAAGACAAGGCUUGGGGGUAUUUCCAAUGACAAGGAGGUGCUUCCGGCUGGAGUUGAACCAGCGACCUUAGGAUCACAGCGUUUCACACAAGGAGCAUCUUACAGUCCACCGCUCUAACAACUGAGCUAUCAAGGUGCUCUCUAGUCACAAGUGCAGAAAACAUAGUGGCUUCGAAGACACACUAUGCCCACAGAACUAUUCCAACCCAUGGUCAAUGAAAAGCCCACCCCUACCUGACGAACAAAGCUUUGCAGUUUGUACCCAACAGUCAUUGCCAGGGACCCAGAACUGAUAAUCAGGACUUUUAGGCUGGGUGAAUAAAAAAUUGAUGGUUGAAAAUUUAAGAAAGAGUUAUCUUGUUUGUGUUUUUACAUUUUGGAGGAGUUGACAGAUAAAGACAAGGCUUGGGGGUAUUUCCAAUAACAAGGAGGUGCUUCCGGCUGGAGUUGAAACAGCGACCUUAGGAUCACAGCGUUUCACACAAGGAGCAUCUAACAGUCCACCGCUCUACCAACUGAGCUAUCAAGGUGCUCUCUAGUCACAAGUGCAGAAAACAUAGUGGCUUCGAAGACACACUAUGCCCACAGAACUAUUCCAACCCAUGGUCAAUGAAAAGCCCAGCCCUACCUGACGAACAAAGCUUUGCAGUUUGUACCCAACAGUCAUUGCCAGGGACCCAGAACUGAUAAUCAGGACUUUUAGGCUGGGUGAAUAAAAAAUUGAUGGUUGAAAAUUUAAGAAAGAGUUAUCUUGUUUGUGAUUUUUACAUUUUGGAGGAGUUGACAGAUAAAGACAAGGCUUGGGGGUAUUUCCAAUGACAAGGAGGUGCUUCCGGCUGGAGUUGAACAAGCGACCUUAGGAUCACAGCGUUUCCCACAAGGAGCAUCUUACAGUCCACCGCUCUACCAACUGAGCUAUCAAGGUGCUCUCUAGUCACAAGUGCAGAAAACAUAGAGGCUUCGAAGACACACUAUGCCCACAGAACUAUUCCAACCCAUGGUCAAUGAAAAGCCCAGCCCUACCUGACGAACAAAGCUUUGCAGUUUGUACCCAACAGUCAUUGCCAGGGACCCAGAACUGAUAAUCAGGACUUUUAGGCUGGGUGAAUAAAAAAUUGAUGGUUGAAAAUUUAAGAAAGAGUUAUCUUGUUUGUGUUUUUACAUUUUGGAGGAGUUGACAGAUAAAGAAAGGCUUGGGGGUAUUUCGAAUGACAAGGAGGUGCUUCCGGCUGGAGUUGAACCAGCGACCUCAGGAUCACAGCGUUUCACACAAGGAGCAUCUUACAGUCCACCGCUCUACCAACUGAGCUAUCAAGGUGCGCUCUAGUCGCAAGUGCAGAAAACAUAGUGGCUUCGAAGACACACUAUGCCCACAGAACUAUUCCAACCCAUGGUCAAUGAAAAGCCCAGCCCUACCUGACGAACAAAGCUUUGCAGUUUGUACCCAACAGUCAUUGCCAGGGACCCAGAACUGAUAAUCAGGACUUUUAGGCUGGGUGAAUAAAAAAUUGAUGGUUGAAAAUUGAAGAAAGAGUUAUAUUGUUUGUGUUUUUACAUUUUGGAGGAGUUGACAGAUAAAGACAAGGCUUGGGGGUAUUUCCAAUGACAAGGAGGUGCUUCCGGCUGGAGUUGAACCAGCGACCUUAGGAUCACAGCGUUUCACACAAGGAGCAUCUUACAGUCCACCGCUCUACCAACUGAGCUAUCAAGGUGCUCUCUAGUCACAAGUGCAGAAAACAUAGUGGCUUCGAAGACACACUAUGCCCACAGAACUAUUCCAACCCAUGGUCAAUGAAAAGCCCAGCCCUACCUGACGAACAAAGCUUUGCAGUUUGUACCCAACAGUCAUUGCCAGGGACCCAGAACUGAUAAUCAGGACUUUUAGGCUGGGUGAAUAAAAAAUUGAUGGUUGAAAAUUUAAGAAAGAGUUAUCUUGUUUGUGUUUUUACAUUUUGGAGGAGUUGACAGAUAAAGACAAGGCUUGGGGGUAUUUCGAAUGACAAGGAGGUGCUUCCGGCUGGAGUUGAACCAGCGACCUUAGGAUCACAGCGUUUCACACAAGGAGCAUCUUACAGUCCACCGCUCUACCAACUGAGCUAUCAAGGUGCUCUCUAGUCACAAGUGCAGAAAACAUAGAGGCUUCGAAGACACACUAUGCCCACAGAACUAUUCCAACCCAUGGUCAAUGAAAAGCCCAGCCCUACCUGACGAACAAAGCUUUGCAGUUUGUACCCAACAGUCAUUGCCAGGGACCCAGAACUGAUAAUCAGGACUUUUAGGCUGGGUGAAUAAAAAAUUGAUGGUUGAAAAUUUAAGAAAGUGUCAUCUUGUUUGUGUUUUUACAUUUUGGAGGAGUUGACAGAUAAAGACAAGGCUUGGGGGUAUUUCCAAUGACAAGGAGGUGCUUCCGGCGGAAUUGAACCAGCGAGCUUAGGAUCACAGCGUUUCACACAAGGAGCAUCUUACAGUCCACCGCUGUACCAACUGAGCUAUCAAGGUGCUCUCUAGUCGCAAGUGCAGAAAACAUAGUGGCUUCGGAGACAAACUAUGCCCACAGAACUAUUCCAACCCAUGGUCAAUGAAAAGCCCAGCCCUACCUGCAGAACAAAGCUUUGCAGUUUGUACCCAACAGUCAUUGCCAGGGACCCAGAACUGAUAAUCAGAACUUUUAGGCUGGGUGAAUAAAAAAUUGAUGGUUGAAAAUUUAAGAAAGAGUUAUCUUGUUUGUGUUUUUACAUUUUGGAGGAGUUGACAGAUAAAGACAAGGCUUGGGGGUAUUUCCAAUGACAAGGAGGUGCUUCCGGCUGGAGUUGAACCAGUGACCUUAGGAUCACAGCGUUUCACACAAGGAGCAUCUUACAGUCCACCGCUCUACCAAAUGAGCUAACAAGGUGCUCUAUAAUCACAAGUGCAGAAAACAUAGUGGCUUCGAAGACACACUAUGCCCACAGAACUAUUCCAACCCAUGGUCAAUGAAAAGCCCAGCCCUACCUGCAGAACAAAGCUUUGCAGUUUGUACCCAACAGUCAUUGCCAGGGACCCAGAACUGAUAAUCAGGACUUUUAGGCUGGGUGAAUAAAAAAUUGAUGGUUGAAAAUUUAAGAAAGAGUUAUCUUGUUUGUGUUUUUACAUUUUGGAGGAGUUGACAGAUAAAGACAAGGCUUGGGGGUAUUUCCAAUGACAAGGAGGUGCUUCCGGCUGGAGUUGAACCAGCGACCUUAGGAUCACAGCGUUUCACACAAGGAGCAUCUAACAGUCCACCGCUCUACCAACUGAGCUAUCAAGGUGCUCUAUACUCACAAGUGCAGAAAACAUAGUGGCUUCGAAGACACACUAUGCCCACAGAACUAUUCCAACCCAUGGUCAAUGAAAAGCCCAGCCCUACCUGCAGAACAAAGCUUUGCAGUUUGUACCCAACAGUCAUUGCCAGGGACCCAGAACUGAUAAUCAGGACUUUUAGGCUGGGUGAAUAAAAAAUUGAUGGUUGAAAAUUUAAGAAAGAGUUAUCUUGUUUGUGAUUUUUACAUUUUGGAGGAGUUGACAGAUAAAGACAAGGCUUGGGGGUAUUUCCAAUGACAAGGAGGUGCUUCCGGCUGGAGUUGAACAAGCGACCUUAGGAUCACAGCGUUUCACACAAGGAGCAUCUUACAGUCCACCGCUCUACCAAAUGAGCUAACAAGGUGCUCUAUAAUCACAAGUGCAGAAAACAUAGUGGCUUCGAAGACACACUAUGCCCACAGAACUAUUCCAACCCAUGGUCAAUGAAAAGC